rnacentral:lncRNA from 1 species
AUUUAGGCCAGGCAUGGUGGCUCACGCCUGUAAUCCCAGCACUUUGGGAGGCCGAGCCAGGCAGAUCACAAGGUCAGGAGUUGAGACCAUCCUGGCUAACACGGUAAAACCCUGUCUCUAUUAAAAAUACAAAAAAAAUUAGCUGGGCGUGGUGGCGGGCACCUGUAAUUCCAGCUACUCGGGAGGCUGAGGCAGGAGAAUGGCGUGAACCCGGGAGGCGGAGGUUACAGUGAGCCGAGAUUGCGCCACUGCAUUCCAGCCUGGGUGACAGAGUGAGACUCUGUCACACACACACAAAAAUUGAAAGAUUAGUCGGGCGUGGCGGCACAUGCCUGUAGUCUCAGCUACUGGGAGGCUGAGGUGGGAGGAUCACUUGAGCCUGGCAGGUAAGAAACAUCGGCUGGUCUCCUGGCCCCUCCUGGGCCCCUGCUGAGCCCUCCUGACCCCUUCCCAGAGCCACAGCCCCAGGCCCUUGCUUUCUGAGGUGCUGCUUGUCCCAGGGGACUGAACUGCUGGUGGUGUGCCCCAGGUGCAGGAUAUUGCCACUGGAAAGUACACCUGUAAGGGGAUGCUGGGGUCUUGGGAAGGAAGGUGACUGUUAACCUAUGGAGAUCAGCUUACUACUGUGUGAGCGUUGGCCAAAAUGACCAGGCUGCCCAGCGUCGGCCCAGAUCAAGAUCUAGAGGCCAGGAAGGAAGUGGGCCUACCUCUUUUCCACAAGUCUGCCGCAUCCCUAAGGCCACACAGCUGAAGCUUUGGCUCUGCUUUCAUUCCAGGGAUGGGCAGGCUGGCAUUGGGCCACCUGCUGCCCCUAGCCCCAGACUCUCUGUGUGGGGGGCCAUGUGAUCCAUCUGGCUGGGGCAAUGCCAGGACCACCCCACCUAUUUCAGUGUCCUAAUUCUUACUUUGUUCUGCCAUUGUGGCAAUCUGGUGGUAAAUAUAACCUUUUGACAGUUUUUGAACUGCCUGGAACCCAAGAUCCUAAACAUUUUUUAACCGUAUUUGGGUUAUCUUUUAUUUUGGUUUUUAUCCCCAAUGGAGAAAAAUCAAGAUGGAAAAAAGUUAUUUUAAAAUGCACGAUGGGUGGCAGCAGUGGUGGUAGGGAAAAAAAGGUAAAAAAAUUUUUUUAAAAAUAAAGUACAGGAUGAAGUGAAUUGA